rnacentral:rRNA from 1 species
AACGAACGCUGGCGGCAUGCCUAACACAUGCAAGUCGAACGAGACCGUCGGGUCUAGUGGCGCACGGGUGCGUAACGCGUGGGAACCUGCCCGUAGGUUCGGAAUAACUCCCCGAAAGGGGUGCUAAUACCGGAUAAUGUCUUCGGACCAAAGAUUUAUCGCCUUGGGAUGGGCCCGCGUUGGAUUAGCUAGUUGGUAGGGUAAAAGCCUACCAAGGCGACGAUCCAUAGCUGGUCUGAGAGGAUGAUCAGCCACAAUGGGACUGAGACACGGACCAGACUCGUACGGGAGGCAGCAGAGGGGAAUAUUGGACAAGGGGCGAAAGCGUGAUACAGCAAUGCCGCGUGAGAGAUGAAGGCGUUAGGGUUGUAAAGCUCUUUUAGCCGGGAUGAUAAUGACAGUACCGGGAGAAUAAGCACCGGCUAACUCCGUG